AGGGAAAGGUGAAAAGAACCCCGGGAGGGGAGUGAAAGAGAACUUGAAACCCUAUGUUUACAAGCAGAUAGAGCGAUUUAAGGCGCGAUAUCGUACUUUUUGUAGAACGGUCCAGCGAGUUAUUGUAUAUGGCAAGGUUAAGUACUAAGUAAGGUACGGAGCCGAAGUGAAAGCGAGCCUGAAUAGGGCGAAUUAAGUCAUAUGUAAUAGACCCGAAACCGGGUGACCUAUCCAUGGUCAGGAUGAAGCUAGAGUAAAAUCUAGUGGAGGUCCGAACUCAUAAGCGUUAAAAAGCUUCGGGAUGAACUGUGGAUAGCGGAGAAAUUCCAAUCGAACUCGGAGAUAGCUGGUUCUCCUCGAAAUAGCUUUAGGGCUAGCCUUGUGUAGUAGUAUAUGGGGGUAGAGCACUGACUGAGGUAGGGGCCUAACCAGGUUACCAAACUCUAUCAAACUCCGAAUACCGUAUAUGUAAGCACAGGAGUCAGACUGUGGGAGCUAAGUUCCAUGGUCAAAAGGGAAAGAGCCCAGAUCGUCAAUUAAGGUCCCAAAGAUAUAGCUAAGUGGCAAACGAUGUGAUUUUGCGUAAACAACCAGGAUGUUGGCUUAGAAGCAGCCAUACAUUUAAAGAGUGCGUAAUAGCUCACUGGUCGAGUGAAGUUGCGCGGAAAAUUACCGGGGCUAAGCUAUACACCGAAAUUGCGGAUUUACAUUUGAAAUACAAUGUAAGUGGUAGAGGAGCAUUCUGUAGUAGGGAGAAGCAUAAGCGAGAGCAUGUGUGGACGAGGCAGAAGAGAGAAUGCUGGAAUAAGUAGCGAGAGCAAGGUGAGAAUCCUUGCCGUCGAAAGUCUAAGGUUUCCUGGGGAAGGUUCGUCCGCCCAGGGUAAGUCGGGACCUAAGGUGAGGCUGAAAAGCGUAGCCGAUGGAUAGCAGGUUGAAAUUCCUGCACUAUAGAUAUACUUAAAAGAUGCAAGGGACGCAGGAGUGGAAGAUAAGCGAGGAAGAGGGAAAACUCGUAUCGCAAGAUAUAGUGAAAAUAAAGUAACGAAUUAUCAAGAAGCACACUGACGAGAAAAGCUUGUAGAUAUUGUAUAUAAAUACCCGUACCGCAAACCGACACAGGUAGAUGAGGAGAGGAUCCUAAGACGAGCGGGAGAAGCAUUGUUAAGGAACUCGGCAAAUUGACCCCGUAACUUAGGGAGAAGGGGUGCCAAGGUAAUACUUGGCCGCAGUGAAGAGGUUCAAGCAACUGUUUAACAAAAACACAGGUUUCUGCUAAAUCGAAAGAUGAAGUAUAGGAGCUGACGCCUGCCCAGUGCUGGAAGGUCAAAGGGAAGUGUUAGUAAAAACUUACGAAGCACAGAACUCAAGCCCCAGUGAACGGCGGCCGUAACUAUAACGGUCCUAAGGUAGCGAAAUUCCUUGUCAGGUAAGUUCUGACCCGCACGAAAGGCGUAAUGAUUUGAACACUGUCUCAACAAUGUACCCGGCGAAAUUGUAGUACUAGUGAAGAUGCUAGUUACCUGCGACAAGACAGAAAGACCCCAUGGAGCUUUACUGCAGCUUGAUACUGGGUUUUGGUAAUUUAUGUACAGGAUAGGUGGGAUACGAAGAAGCAAGUGCGCCAGCAUUUGUGGAGUAGCCGUUGGGAUACCACUCUUAAAUUAUUGAAAUUCUAACCUGUGAUCAUGAACUGGUCAGGGGACAAUGUCAGGUGGGCAGUUUGACUGGGGCGGUCGCCUCCUAAAGAGUAACGGAGGCGCCCAAAGGUUUCCUCAGCACGGACAGAAAUCGUGCGCAAGAGUGUAAAGGCAGAAGGAAGCUUAACUGGGAGACUGACAAGUCGAGCAGAUACGAAAGUAGGGCUUAGUGAUCCGGCGGUAGUGAGUGGAAAUGCCGUCGCUCAACGGACAAAAGUUACCCUGGGGAUAACAGGCUUAUCUCCCCCAAGAGUUCACAU
rnacentral:rRNA from 1 species